GAGCGCAGAUCAGAAAUGGCUGUCGAAUAGCAACUGAACACUUAGUAACAUCGUUAUACACCACAUCACAUCCUGAGGUUUUACAUUGUUUUAACAAACCAACAUAUCAUGCAAGGAAAUGGGAAAACGGGAGAAAGUGGUAGUUGGCUAUACAUACGCCACAUGCAUGCCCUCGUCCUCCCUCCUCUCCUCGGCCCUCCUCCUAUCUCUCCUCCCUCCCUCCCCUCCCGCUCUGUGACGAAGAGAAUGCCCGUGUUGUACUGACAGAAACGUUACGGGCUUAGCAGGCAUGGAGGCCCGAUUAAUGACAGAGGCCCAUUCCGACACGUCCAAGCUCGACUAACACAGUCCCGGAGAAGGGUUCCGGCGACAUUUUUGGAUACGACGAAUAAGAACCGCUGUAAAGGAAAAGAAGGAGUUGGAGAAGAAAUACUGGGAGAGAUCCAUUUCGGGUCUCUGUUGAUUCAACGCAGCCGCCAUUUUGUUGACACACUUGCAACAAAAAUACCGUGGCCACCAUGUUGAUACACACGAAGGGAGGAUUUUGAUCCAAAUAAUGUGAGCUCCGCUCCUGGACCGCUAUCAAGACUGAAGGUGAGAGGGCUGCACAGCCAGGAAGGCAGCGACUGCACCGGCCGUCUAAGAAGAGGACUGCACUUUCAAGAACCCUGUCCUCUCCGCACCCCCCCUCCCCCUCCCCUUUACUUUCCCCCUCACUCCA